UGAGGGACAAGAAGAGGAAUAAUG
rnacentral:piRNA from 1 species